GAUGAACGCUGGCGGCGUGCCUAAUACAUGCAAGUCGUACGGAAAGGCCCUUCGGGGUACUCGAGAGGCGGACGGCUGAGUAACGCGUGGGAACGUGCCCCAAAGUGAGGGAUAACGCACCGAAAGGUGUGCUAAUACCGCAUAUGGUCUUCGGAUUAAAGCUUCGGCGCUUUGGGAGCGGCCCGCGUACGAUUAGAUAGUUGGUGAGGUAAUGGCUCACCAAGUCGACGAUCGCUAGCUGGUCUGAGAGGAUGAUCAGCCAGACUGGGACUGAGACACGGCCCAGACUCCUACGAGAGGCAGCAGUAAGGAAUCUUCCACAAUGGGGGCAACCCUGAUGGAGCAACGCCGCGUGCAGGAUGAAGGUUUUCGGAUCGUAAACUGCUUUUAUAAGUGAAGAAUAUGACGGUAACUUAUGAAUAAGGAUCGGCUAACUACGUGCCAGCCGCCGCCGUAA
rnacentral:rRNA from 1 species